rnacentral:rRNA from 1 species
CCUACGGGAGGCAGCAGUGGGGAAUAUUGCACAAUGGGGGAAACCCUGAUGCAGCGACGCCGCGUGAGCGAUGAAGUAUUUCGGUAUGUAAAGCUCUAUCAGCAGGGAAGAAAAUGACGGUACCUGACUAAGAAGCCCCGGCUAACUACGUGCCAGCAGCCGCGGUAAUACGUAGGGGGCAAGCGUUAUCCGGAUUUACUGGUUGUAAAGGGAGCGUAGACGGUCGUGCAAGCCAGAUGUGAAAGCCCGGGGCUCAACCCCGGGACUGCAUUUGAAACUGUAAGGCUAGAGUGUAGGAGUGGCAGGCGGAAUUCCUAGUGUAGCGGUGAAAUGCGUAGAUAUUAGGAGGAACACCAGUGGCGAAGGCGGCCUGCUGGACGAUGACUGACGUUGAGGCUCGAAAGCGUGGGGAGCAAACAGGAUUAGAUACCCUUGUAGUC